UACGGAGGGGGCUAGCGUUGUUCGGAAUUACUGGGCGUAAAGCGCACGUAGGCGGCUUGGUAAGUUAGAGGUGAAAGCCUGGAGCUCAACUCCAGAAUUGCCUUUAAGACUGCCGAGCUAGCAGGUGAGAGAGGUGAGUGGAAUUCCGAGUGUAGAGGUGAAAUUCGUAGAUAUUCGGAAGAACACCAGUGGCGAAGGCGGCUCACUGGCUCAUACUGGACGCUGAGGCACGAAAGCGUGGGGAGCAAACAGG
rnacentral:rRNA from 1 species